UGAAUACGUUCCCGGGCCUUGUACACACCGCCCGUCACACCAUGAGAGUUGGAGAUACCCGAAGCCUGUGAGCUAACUUAACGAGGCAGCAGUCGAAGGUAGAAUCAAUGAUUGGGGUGAAGUCGUAACAAGGUACC
rnacentral:rRNA from 1 species